ACGAACGCCGGCGGCAGGCCUCACACAUGCAAGUCGCGCGGACCUUUCGGGGUCAGCGGCGGACGGGUGAGUAACGCGUGGGAAUAUGCCCUUCUCUACGGAAUAGUCCUGGGAAACUGGGGGUAAUACCGUAUACGCCCUUUGGGGGAAAGAUUUAUCGGGGAAGGAUUAGCCCGCGUUGGAUUAGGUAGUUGGUGGGGUAAUGGCCUACCAAGCCGACGAUCCAUAGCUGGUUUGAGAGGAUGAUCAGCCACACUGGGACUGAGACACGGCCCAGACUCCUACGGGAGGCAGCAGUGGGGAAUCUUAGACAAUGGGGGCAACCCUGAUCUAGCCAUGCCGCGUGAGUGAUGAAGGCCUUAGGGUUGUAAAGCUCUUUCAGCUGGGAAGAUAAUGACGGUACCAGCAGAAGAAGCCCCGGCUAACUCCGUG
rnacentral:rRNA from 1 species